AGGAAUAUUGCUCAAUGGGAGAAAUCCUGAAGCAGCAACGCCGCGUGGAGGAUGAAGGGUCUAUGACUUGUAAACUCCUGUAAAGAAGGAAAAAAUUCCCAUUAGAUGGGAGAUGAUGGUACUUCUGGAGUAAGCCCCGGCUAACUACGUGCCAGCAGCCGCGGUAAUACGUAGGGGGCGAGCGUUGUCCGGAUUUACUGGGUGUAAAGGGUGCUCAGGCGGAUUUGUAAGUCAGAGGUGAAAGCUCCUGGCUUAACUGGGAGAGGUCGUUCAAAACUGCGAGGCUUGAGAGUGGUAGAGGGAGGUGGAAUUCCGGGUGUAGUGGUGAAAUGCGUAGAUAUCCGGAGGAACACCAGUGGCGAAAGCGGCCUCCUGGACCAUUUCUGACACUCAGACGCGAAAGCUAAGGUAGCAAACG
rnacentral:rRNA from 1 species